GGGGGCCAGAGGGGGACAGCCUGCCCCGCCUGGGGGCCGCACGGGGCUCCUGGGAGGGAGGUGGGUGACUCCGCACUUUCAGUUGCUGGUGGGCCGAGGCUCAUGGGAGAUAUGCAGAUGAGCCCAGGGCAUCAUGGGAAAGGGCCCUUUAUACUCCCAGGUGCACUGCCUCCCUCCUUUCGGGGGGGGGGGGCGGGGUGCCUGUAGGAGGGAGGUGCCAGGCAGGCUUCCCAGAGGAUAGAGCCAUCUCGGGAGCUGAAGAAUCUUCCGGAAGUCCAACCUGCCCAACCUCUGCAGGUCUCUGUUGGACUGGGACCCAGCUCGCCCACCCCACCCCUCCCCAA